rnacentral:rRNA from 1 species
UUUGGUGGCGAUGGCGGAGGGGUUCCACGCGUACCCAUCCCGAACACGACCGUUAAGCCCUCCAGCGCCGAUGGUACUUGGACCGCAGGGUCCUGGGAGAGUAGGACGCCGCCAAGC